rnacentral:tRNA from 2 species
GCCUCUGUGGCCUAAUGGAUAAGGCAUCGGCCUUCUAAGCCGGGGAUUGUGGGUUCGACCCCCACCAGAGGUA